rnacentral:rRNA from 1 species
GUACGCUAUUCAGAGUUUGAUCCUGGCUCAGGAUGAACGCUGGCGGCGUGCUUAACACAUGCAAGUCGAGCGAAGCACCUUGACUUCUUCGGAAAGAUUGGUGACUGAGCGGCGGACGGGUGAGUAACGCGUGGGUAACCUGCCUCACACAGGGGGGAUAACAGUUAGAAAUGACUGCUAAUACCGCAUAAGACCACAGCACCGCAUGGUGCAGGGGUAAAAACUCCGGUGGUGUGAGAUGGACCCGCGUCUGAUUAGCUAGUUGGUGAGGUAACGGCCCACCAAGGCGACGAUCAGUAGCCGACCUGAGAGGGUGACCGGCCACAUUGGGACUGAGACACGGCCCAA